UUUUUUUUUUUUUUUUUUUUUUUUUUGCUGUUGUUGAUAAGUUACUGUAUCACGUUACAGCUUACAUUAUGGUAUGGCAUGCAUAGCAUUUUGGUUUGAUACAUUUUCAUAUUAAAUGAAAGCCAACUGGUGACACUGAUUUUGCAGGCAUUAUUUAGUGGAAUAUUUUGGUGUGAAACACUAUUUAAAACAACAACAAAAACAAAAACAACAAAAACCAACCUACAGAAUAGAGGGAAGAAAGCAUUGCAAAGAACUGUCAGCUUUUAUUUUUAUCUGUAGUUAAAAGUAAGAUUUGGAUACACUUAUAAGGAUAUUUUAAAAUUGAUAUAUAUCAUUGUUGUGUUAAAAUAACACAUUAUUUAUCAGAAAAAAAUUCUAAUGAAAAAUAAUUAUAAAGCCUCUGUAUUUUCAUGUUGCACAGAGGCUAUUGUCUGAAAAAAGCGCCCUUUAAAACUGUACAAAUAUUGGACUCGUUUAGAUUAUCAAAUCAACUGACAUAUUUUUCAUUAAUUAGAACAAGCAGCCUAAUAAGAACAUUUCUUGUUAUGCUUGUUUUACUCCACUUAACAAUAACACUGUAAUUCUGAGCUUGAAAUUUAAGCGCUACAUCUAUUUGUUAAAAUUUUUGGAGUUCAGAGUCUUUAUACUCACAUUUUCAGGUCUGGUCUUCUUUACUUACAUUUCAGUAUAAGUGAUAUAAUUAAUACAUAAACAACAGAUUUGUUUUUAUUUUCUUUCCAGUUGUUCUGCAUUUACAAAAACUAGGAAAAUUUGUUAAACAAGAUCAGAUAAUGCAUAUUACAUUUUUUUCCUGUGUUAAUUUUAUCUCUAGAAUAGAACUACCAAAUGCAUAUUCUAUAUUUUCUUUGUUUCUUUAAAUGUUUUGCUAGAUAAAAUUAUAUUUACAACAACAAAAAGCAAAAUUAUUUUCCUACUGGUUUAGUUAGAGAGUAGACACAGAUCAUAUUUUAAUAGCGUGCAUAUAUAUAUAUUUGACACAUGAACAUAUGUAUAUUAUAUAUAAACAACUCUAUUCUUUUCUGUUCUUAGAAAAGUUUUGUCUCACAUGUAACUAUUUGAGCAAAGAUGUAGCAUACUUGGCCCACCAGGCCUGAGACUGGGUCCUCUCCAAAAGAUUCAAUAUUAAGAACUUGCUAUUUCUUCCUGGGAUGUUGGCUUUGGCUAGAAGCUUUUUAACACGUAUUUUAACUUUGAAGUCAGUUCUUAUAUGCUAACUCAUAUUGAAUACAGUUAUUUAAAGUAACAUACAUCAUUUGAUGGGGCUAUUAAAUAUCUCACUAAAAUAUUAUUCUUCACCUGCUUCAAAAUACUGACAGCUCUAUGAUUUCUCUAUGAGCUGUCCCUGUACAAGCAAAUAUUGUCCAUGUCAACCUCUAUAGCCAUAUUAAGAUUUUGCUUCCUCUUGUUCUAUGAUAACAUGCUCAUUUCCUUUCCAGUACAAGAGGCUUAGAGCCGUAUCUACCUUAGCAGUUUUUCUGAUGAGCAAUAGCAUGGAUGGCAACACGCAAGAAAAGCCUAAAAUUGUCCUUUAAUUUUACUAGUUUAUUUUCUUAGGUUGUUCUCACCAAGCAGACUAAAAUUAUCUUAGAUGGCUGCUAUGCAACUUUCACAGAAUCACAGAAUGGCCUGGGUUGGAAGGGACCUCAAGGAUCAUGAAACUUCAAACCCCCACCACAGGCAGGGCCACCAACCUCUACAUUUGAUACUAGACCAGGCUGCCCAGGGCUCCAUCCAACCUGGCCUUGAACACCUCCAGGGAUGGGGCAUCCACAGCCUCUCUGGCAGCCUGUUCCAGCAUCUCACCACUCUCAUAGAGAACUUCCCCCUGAAAUCCAACCUAAAUCUUCCCUCCUUCAACUUAAAAUCAUUUCCCCUUGUCCUGCCAUUAUCUACCCUUGUAAAGAGUUGGCUUUAUAGGCUCCCUUUAGGUACUGAAAGGCUGCAGUGAGGUCACCCUGUAGCCUUCUUGUCUCCAAGUUGAACAAGCCCAGCUCCCUCAGCCUGUCUUUGUAGGGGAGGUGCUCCAGCCCUCUGAUCAUCUUUGUAGCCCUCCUCCUCUCCAACAGCUCUCUGUCUUUCUUGUACUGGGACCCCAGACCUGGACACAGUAUUCCAGAUGGGGCUCUCACAAGUAGAGAGGGACAAUCACCUCCCUGUCCCUGCUGGCCACCCCUCUUCUGAUGGAGCCCAGAAAACCAUUUGCUUUCUGAGCAAAUGUUGGGUUUAUCUGCAAGAAUUUGUGUGCUACCAUGCCAUUCCACCACAUCAGAGAGUGAACUUCAGAGAGCUAAUCCGUGCUUUCCCAGAUAUACUAGAAGACAAUGUGUGUUUCUGCCAUGCAACUGCAUGGUUUCAGACCCAGCCUGCUACCCUCAAACUGAGUCACUUUUAUAAGACAAGAGUUGAUGUAAGAUGUCUUGACAGUUAUUGAAAUCUUUUCUCCUGAGAAGGACUUGCACAAGUUAAAUCUUCAUCAGCCCACUGACAGCUCAGCUCCUAAUCCAGCUGAUAAAGGUAAUCUCUUUGGAAGGACUGUGUGCCAAAAAAAAACAUUGAAGGUUUAAUUUCUCAGAAGCUAAAGAUCAUUAAUUGUAUGAACAGAAACAUGGCAUGAGUACUUCAAAAUAAUAAUAAUAAAAAAAAAAAUACAAAAGGCUAUUUGUCCUGAGAAUUAAAAAAAAAAAAAAAAA
ensembl:lncRNA